rnacentral:rRNA from 1 species
CUGGCGGCGUGCUUAACACAUGCAAGUCGAACGGAGUGAAGGGGAGCUUGCUCCUUGGAACUUAGUGGCAAACGGGUGAGUAACGCGUAGGCAACCUGCCCUUCAGAUGGGGACAACAUUUCGAAAGGAAUGCUAAUACCGAAUGACGUGCACUGGUCGCAUGACCGAUGCACCAAAGGCCGGGCAACCGGUCACUGAAGGAUGGGCCUGCGUCUGAUUAGCUAGUUGGUGGGGUAACGGCCCACCAAGGCGACGAUCAGUAGCCGGUCUGAGAGGAUGAACGGCCACAUUGGGACUGAGACACGGCCCAAACUCCUACGGGAGGCAGCAGUGGGGAAUCUUCCGCAAUGGGCGCAAGCCUGACGGAGCAACGCCGCGUGAGUGAAAGAAGGUUUUCGGAUCGUAAAGCUCUGUUGUCAGGGACGAGAGACUUGAUCAGGAAAUGGGUCGAGGAGGACGGUACCUGGCGAGAAAGCCACGGCUAACUACGUGCCAGCCGCGGC